rnacentral:rRNA from 1 species
GUAACAAGGUCUCCGUUGGUGAACCAGCGGAGGGAUCAUUACCGAGUUUACAACUCCCAAACCCCUGUGAACAUACCACUUGUUGCCUCGGCGGAUCAGCCCGCUCCCGGUAAAACGGGACGGCCCGCCAGAGGACCCCUAAAACUCUGUUUCUAUAUGUAACUUCUGAGUAAAACCAUAAAUAAAUCAAAACUUUCAACAACGGAUCUCUUGGUUCUGGCAUCGAUGAAGAACGCAGCAAAAUGCGAUAAGUAAUGUGAAUUGCAGAAUUCAGUGAAUCAUCGAAUCUUUGAACGCACAUUGCGCCCGCCAGUAUUCUGGCGGGCAUGCCUGUUCGAGCGUCAUUUCAACCCUCAAGCACAGCUUGGUGUUGGGACUCGCGUUAAUUCGCGUUCCUCAAAUUGAUUGGCGGUCACGUCGAGCUUCCAUAGCGUAGUAGUAAAACCCUCGUUACUGGUAAUCGUCGCGGCCACGCCGUUAAACCCCAACUUCUGAAUGUUGACCUCGGAUCAGGUAGGAAUACCCGCUGAACUUAAGCAUAUCA